AAGAAACACAAGAUAUUCCUUAAUCUUACAAUAUUCCCCAAGAGAACUCAGUAUCACAAAAUAAGGUUUCAUUUUACUUAUAAUAGCAAAACAAAUACUUAUGCAAAAUAUACCCUUAUUCAUGAAACAAAUUUCUACCUCUUUUGAUGAGUAAAAUAAGCAUCCCUAAAUAAUUUCAAGUUUUCAGUUUUCCUGACCAAAGUCCUAGUUUUCAUUGUUUUUGCUCUCUCUUCAAAUAUGUAUUCUGAACACCGUACUUAAAAAAAAAUUUUCAUGCAGUACAUCUCUCUCAACUAAUGAACCAUCAUUGAUAAAUUACUACGUCCAUUUUCAGACUUAAAAGUUGUUAUUUUUUUAAAACCUAUUCUCUUCUGUUUCACGAUCCUAUCCCGGAAGUCAUUUGUUUUGAAUACUGAAAUCCUUGUUGUUUUUGGCAAUAUAGUAUUCACUUUUGAAAAAAGGGAUGUUUUGAUCCUGUUUUUCACGUUCUACAAUGAACUUAGCAGAAACUUAGGGCGGGCAACCGGAAGUCACGAUCACGAACAUUUACGAUCACGAACAGUGCAGCCACCAGGAGAGGAGGUUAUCUACCUCCACGUGGCCAGAGCCACUUACCGCCCACAGCUUAAUCCCAAGGGGGAAGAAACGGUGUCCACAUAAAAAACUGUAGUGUAGUUUUAACUGUUAGCCUGCUUAUGUCUUCCUCCC